rnacentral:tRNA from 2 species
GGCGCAUUGGCAGAAUGGUGAUGCAGAGGAUUGCAAAUCCUUAUAUUACGGUUCAAUUCCGUAAUGCGCCU